GCUUGUCUCAAAGAUUAAGCCAUGCAUGUCUAAGUAUAAACUGCUUAUACUGUGAAACUGCGAAUGGCUCAUUAAAUCAGUUAUAGUUUAUUUGAUGGUACCUCUACUCGGAUAACCGUAGUAAUUCUAGAGCUAAUACGUGCGUAAAUCCCGACUUCUGGAAGGGACGUAUUUAUUAGAUAAAAGGCCAGCCGUCUCACGACGACCUGCGUUGACUCAUGAUAACUUCACGAAUCGCAUGGGCUUGCCCCGGCGAUGUUUCAUUCAAAUUUCUGCCCUAUCAACUUUCGAUGGUAGUGUAUUGGACUACCAUGGCAGUAACGGGUAACGAAGAAUUAGGGUUCGAUUUCGGAGAGGGAGCAUGAGAAACGGCUACCACAUCUAAGGAAGGCAGCAGG
rnacentral:rRNA from 1 species